rnacentral:rRNA from 1 species
AGAGUCUGAUCAUGGCUCAGAUUGAACGCUGGCGGCAGGCCUAACACAUGCAAGUCGAGCGGAUGAAGGGAGCUUGCUCCUGGAUUCAGCGGCGGACGGGUGAGUAAUGCCUAGGAAUCUGCCUGGUAGUGGGGGAUAACGUCCGGAAACGGGCGCUAAUACCGCAUACGUCCUGAGGGAGAAAGUGGGGGAUCUUCGGACCUCACGCUAUCAGAUGAGCCUAGGUCGGAUUAGCUAGUUGGUGGGGUAAAGGCCUACCAAGGCGACGAUCCGUAACUGGUCUGAGAGGAUGAUCAGUCACACUGGAACUGAGACACGGUCCAGACUCCUACGGGAGGCAGCAGUGGGGAAUAUUGGACAAUGGGCGAAAGCCUGAUCCAGCCAUGCCGCGUGUGUGAAGAAGGUCUGAUUGUAAAGCACUUUAAGUUGGGAGGAAGGGCAGUAAGUUAAUACCUUGCUGUUUUGACGUUACCAACAGAAUAAGCACCGGCUAACUUCGUGCCAGCAGCCGCGGUAAUACGAAGGGUGCAAGCGUUAAUCGGAAUUACUGGGCGUAAAGCGCGCGUAGGUGGUUCAGCAAGUUGGAUGUGAAAUCCCCGGGCUCAACCUGGGAACUGCAUCCAAAACUACUGAGCUAGAGUACGGUAGAGGGUGGUGGAAUUUCCUGUGUAGCGGUGAAAUGCGUAGAUAUAGGAAGGAACACCAGUGGCGAAGGCGACCACCUGGACUGAUACUGACACUGAGGUGCGAAAGCGUGGGGAACAAACAGGAUUAGAUACCCUGGUAGUCCACGCCGUAAACGAUGUCGACUAGCCGUUGGGAUCCUUGAGAUCUUAGUGGCGCAGCUAACGCGAUAAGUCGACCGCCUGGGGAGUACGGCCGCAAGGUUAAAACUCAAAUGAAUUGACGGGGGCCCGCACAAGCGGUGGAGCAUGUGGUUUAAUUCGAAGCAACGCGAAGAACCUUACCUGGCCUUGACAUGCUGAGAACUUUCCAGAGAUGGAUUGGUGCCUUCGGGAACUCAGACACAGGUGCUGCAUGGCUGUCGUCAGCUCGUGUCGUGAGAUGUUGGGUUAAGUCCCGUAACGAGCGCAACCCUUGUCCUUAGUUACCAGCACCUCGGGUGGGCACUCUAAGGAGACUGCCGGUGACAAACCGGAGGAAGGUGGGGAUGACGUCAAGUCAUCAUGGCCCUUACGGCCAGGGCUACACACGUGCUACAAUGGUCGGUACAAAGGGUUGCCAAGCCGCGAGGUGGAGCUAAUCCCAUAAAACCGAUCGUAGUCCGGAUCGCAGUCUGCAACUCGACUGCGUGAAGUCGGAAUCGCUAGUAAUCGUGAAUCAGAAUGUCACGGUGAAUACGUUCCCGGGCCUUGUACACACCGCCCGUCACACCAUGGGAGUGGGUUGCUCCAGAAGUAGCUAGUCUAACCGCAAGGGGGACGGUUACCACGGAGUGAUUCAUGACUGGGGUGAAGUCGUAACAAGGUA